rnacentral:rRNA from 1 species
UACGGAGGGGGCUAGCGUUGUUCGGAAUUACUGGGCGUAAAGCGCGCGUAGGCGGAUCUGCAAGUCGGGGGUGAAAUCCCGAGGCUCAACCUCGGAACUGCCUUCGAUACUGCGGGUCUCGAGUCCGGGAGAGGUGAGUGGAAUUCCUAGUGUAGAGGUGAAAUUCGUAGAUAUUAGGAAGAACACCAGUGGCGAAGGCGGCUCACUGGCCCGGUACGUGACGCUGAGGCGCGAAAAGCGUGGGGAGCAAACAGGG